UACGGAAGGCAGCAGUGGGGAAUAUUGCACAAUGGGCGAAAGCCUGAUGCAGCUAUGCCGCGUGUAUGAAGAAGGCCUUAGGGUUGUAAAGUACUUUUCAUCGGGGAGGAAAAAACAAAACUAAUAAUUUUAUUUCUUGACGUUACCCGAAAAAGAAGCACCGGCUAACUCCGUGCCAGCAGCCGCGGUAAUACGGAGGGUGCUAGCGUUAAUCAGAAUUACUGGGCGUAAAGAGCACGUAGGUGGUUUUUUUAAGUCAGAUGUGAAAUCCCUGGGCUUAACCUAGGAACUGCAUUUUGAAACUGAAAUACUAGAGUAUCGUAGAGGGAGGUAGAAUUCUAGGUGUAGCGGUGAAAUGCGUAGAUAUCUGGAGGAAUACCUGUGGCGAAAGCGGCCUCCUAAACGAAUACUGACACUGAGGUGCGAAAGCUGGGGAGCAAACAGGGAUUAGAUACC
rnacentral:rRNA from 1 species